AUUUAUGAAAGAAAUCUUCCCAGGAGAGAAGGGGAAGAGGUAGUGGGCAGAAGCUGGGCAAGCAGCGUUUCUGCAAGGUCCCGCCUCAGCCUGACCCUGCGGGGGGCUGGACUGUAAGCAAACGUGGACCAUCAAAGCUACAUAGUCUGUAAAGGGUCCGAGAACGUCCUUUGAGUUUGUCCCGUGGCUGAGAGCAGUGUUUCUAAAAGUUCCAUGGAACACGAAUCCUCGAAGAUACAGGGAACAGAGGCUUCUGGGCCAGAUAAAUUGGGAAACCCACAGACUCUAGCUCCCUCUGGGAGAGUUUAUGAGACGAGCAAACAGAGGCUCUGAGAGGUGGAGUGACUACUGGAGGGCACAGAGCUGGGAAGCCGUUUACCGCGAGAACUCGAGCUCACAUCCGGAGUUACCUACCUGACUCUGCGUACAGGAUGCUCCUGGCUGACGCAGACCCGCGUGCAGGCAGCAGACGCUGUGAGGGAGAACGCUCCUCUGGGACUGCCUGGAUGUUAUGACACUUGGCCCGGCUAUGAUAAUUCGCGUUCCUGCUCAGCAAAUUUCAUUUCCCUCCCUCUGCUGCUCUGGGUGGAGUCGACAGCCCCCUCCUGUUGAAAGGCGGGGUCGUGUGACUUGCUUUGACCCCGGGAAUGGUGGUGGAUGUGCUUUGAGAAGAUGCCUGGAAUGCGUUUGUGCAGUUUGGUUGGCACUUCAGUUCUGGUGGUCUGCCACAGGGAGAGCAUGCCCCAGGGGGUGUCUCCCUUAGCCUGGACCCUGAAACAAGGAGACAUGUGGAGCAGACUUGAACUUGGCCCAAAGCCUAAAGAGGAGCCUUAGUUAAGCCAACCUAGACCUCCAGCCCCAGGAGCAUGAGAAUAAAUGCUGGUUGUUGUAGGCCAUGGAAUUUGGGAGAAAUUUGUUACACAGUAUUACUGUGGCAAUAGCUGACUGAUAC
rnacentral:lncRNA from 1 species